GGCCGACUAGCUCAGCUGGUUAGAGCGUCGUGCUAAUAUGACUGCAUGUAACGCGAAGGUCUUGGGUUCGAUCCCCACGUUGGCCA